rnacentral:rRNA from 1 species
UCAAAGCUAGCCUUUACAUCAAUUCAAUUAAACCUUAUAAAUCUAAUAUAUACUACAAUUUUUAAUCAAAACAUUCUCAACCUUUUAGUAUGGGUGACAGAACAAUAACCCCAGCGCAAUAGUUUAUGUACCGCAAGGGAAAGCUGAAAAAGAAAUGAAAUAAAUCAUUAAAGUACUAAAAAGCAGAGAUUAUACCUCGUACCUUUUGCAUCAUGAUUUAGCUAGAAAAACUAGGCAAAAAGAUCUUAAGUCUACCUCCCCGAAACUAAACGAGCUACUCCGAAGCAGCACUAUAGAGCUAACCCGUCUCUGUGGCAAAAGAGUGGGAAGACUUCCGAGUAGCGGUGAAAAGCCUACCGAGUUUAGUGAUAGCUGGUUACCCAAGAAAAGAACCUUAGUUCUGCAUUAAUUUUUCACUACCUAGACAAGACUUACUCGUCAUAGAAACCUAUAAGAAUUAAUAGUUAUUUAGAAGAGGUACAGCCCUUCUAAACAAAGAUACAACUUUUUAAGGUGGGAAAUGAUCAUAAUUAUUAAGGUUGCCAUCCCAGUGGGCCUAAAAGCAGCCACCUGUUAAGUAAGCGUCGCAGCUCUAAUCUAAUAAUUAAACCUUUAAUUCAGAUAUCCCUUCAUAACCCCCUUUAUCCUAUUGGGUUAUUUUAUAUUCCUAUAAAAGAACUUAUGCUAAAAUGAGUAAUAAAGAGAAUAAAUCUCUCCCGACACAAGUGUACGUCAGAAAGAAUUAAAUCACUGACAAUUAAACGACCCCAAACUGAGGUCAUUAUACCACUUAACCAUUAACUAGAAAAUCCUAUUUUUCUACUCGUUACCCCUACACAGGAGUGUCAUCAGGAAAGA